GGGAGAGUUAUAGUGCCAGGGUAGUUGGCGAAAGACAGCUCAAGUCAGAAUGCCUCCAGCAGGUGAAUGCAGCCAGGGAAGUGCGCAUGGGAUGUGGCUAUGGAGGAUCCUCUUGUAUCCCUCCUGGGAAACCUGCAUGCUCGAUCACCUCUCUGAAAUGCCUGUACACCAAUGCACGCAGCWUGGGGAACAAACAGGAAGAACUAGAGAUCUGUGUGCAGUCGCAGGGCCAUGAUCUCAUUGCCAUUACAGAGACAUGGUGGGAUAGCUCGCAUGACUGGAGUGCUGUCAUGGAUGGCUAUGUACUUUUUAGGAAAGACAGGCCAGGAAAGCGAGGUGGUGGAGUUGCUCUUUAUGUGAGAGAGCAACUGGAAUSUAUUGAGCUGUGCCUAGCGGUGGAUGAAGAGCGAGUCGAGAGCUUAUGGGUAAGGAUUAAAGGGCAGGCUAGCAUGGGUGACACUGUUGUGGGUGUUUACUACAGGCCACCUGAUCAGGAAGACGAAGUCGAUGAGGCCUUCUACAGACAGCUGGAAGUAGCCUCACGAUCCCAGGCCCUGGUUCUCAUGGGGGACUUCAACCACCCCGAUAUCUGCUGGAAAGACAACACAGCUAGGCACAAACAGUCCCGGAGGUUCCUGCAGAGCAUUGGUGACAACUUCUUGACACAGGUGGUGGAGGAGCCAACAAGGAGAGGUGUGCUGCUGGACCUUGUGCUAACAAACAAAGAAGGACUGGUUGGAGAUGUGAAGGUCGGGGGCAGCCUUGGCUGCAGUGACCAUGAGAUGGUGGAGUUGAGGAUCCUGCGAGGAGGCAGCAGGGCACUAAGUAGGAUCGCAACCCUGGAGUUUAGGAGAGCAAACUUUGGCCUCUUCAGGGACCUACUUGGAGGAAUCCCAUGGGUUAGGGCCCUAGAAGGAAGGGGGGUCCAAGAGAGCUGGUUAAUAUUCAAACAUCACCUCCUCCAGGCUCAAGAGCAGUGCAUCCCUAUGAGUAGGAAGUCAAGCAAAGGGGGCAGGAGACCUGCAUGGAUGAGGAAGGAGCUCCUGGCAAAACUCAACCAGAAGAAGGAAGUAUACAGGAAGUGGAAAGGGGGACAGGCCACUUGGG
rnacentral:lncRNA from 1 species